rnacentral:tRNA from 1 species
GGAGGGGUGCCAGAGUGGUCGAAUGGGCUUGACUCGAAAUCAAGUGUAGGGUCUUCCCUACCGUGGGUUCGAAUCCCACCCCCUCCGCCA